rnacentral:rRNA from 1 species
UACGGAGGGUGCGAGCGUUGUUCGGAAUCACUGGGCGUAAAGGGCGUGUAGGCGGUCCGCUAAGUCUGAUGUGAAAGCCCGGGGCUCACCCCCGGAAGGGCAUUGGAAACUGGCGGACUCGAGUCUCGGAGAGGAAGGUGGAAUUCCUGGUGUAGCGGUGAAAUGCGUAGAUAUAGGAAGGAACACCAGUGGCGAAGGCGACCACCUGGACUGAUACUGACACUGAGGUGCGAAAGCGUGGGGAGCAAACAGG